GAAAUGUUCACUCCAGCCUCAAUCCCCAGUGGUUCAUUUGAGCAACUGACUUGUUUUUAUCUUAUGAGCAUUGGGCAUUUAUGAAACUGAUUAUGUCUUCCUCUGCUAUGACCACUAGGAAUCUCAGAGUCCGCUGGAGACUGACCAGGGUAUUCAAUGACUAUACAGGAUUACGUAGUGCACAUUCUUUGUACAGCCCAUACUGCUGGCACCACCUUGUUCCUCACCUUUAUCUUCCCUUUAUUUAUGCACACAUUGCUUCCUUUGUUUUAAUUUUGAGUGAGUAAGUGAAAAGUUGCUCAGUCAUGCCCGACUCUUUGGGGUCCCACGUAGCCUGCCAGGCUCUUCUGUCCAUGGAAUUCUCCAGGCAGGAAUACUGGAGUGGGUAGCCUUUCACUUCUCCAGGGAUCUUACCAACCCAGGGUUCAAACCCAGGUCUCCCGCAUUGCAGGAGGCUUCUUUACCGUCUGAGUCACCAGGGAAGCCCCUUCCUGACUACAGUGUGUGUGUAUAUAUAUAACCCUGUGGCUAUCUCUUAACCUUUCUGGGAGCUGAAAGAGAGGUAUGAAUAAAUAAUGACCAGUGAUUUCUAUUUUAACAGAAACCUGGGAAGGGAAACAGUCUCAACAAUGAAUAGGCCACUCAGCACAACCAACUACAGAUGACUGGCCAUUUCAUUUACAAAGAUGUCGUCUGCUGCUGAGAAUGGAGACACAGCACCUGGGAAGCAAAACGAAGAGAAAACCUAUAAAAAGGUGUGUUUCUCGACCUCCCAAACAGCCCCCAGGUGCUGGUAUAUAUUCCUCCAAAAGAAUCCCCUGUCCCUAUAAGCUGAUUAUGGAGUACAUCUCUUAUUUGUUACUGCAAAGAAGCAUUUUGAAAAUUGUGAAUAUGGACAUAAAUUCUUCUGAAGUACUACUUCAAAUUGGAAAAGCUAUCUACUGCUGCUGCUAAGUCACUUCAGUCGUGUUCGACUCUGUGCGACCCCAUAGAUGGCAGCCCACCAGGCUCCCCCUUCCCUGGGAUUCUCCAGGCAACAACACUGCAGUGGGUUGCCAUUUCCUUCUCCAGUGCAUGAAAGUGAAGUUGCUCAGUCGUGUCUGACUCGUAGCGACCCAUGGACUGCAGCCCACCAGGCUCCUCCAUCCAUGGGAUUUUCCAGGCAAGAGUACUGGAGUGGGGUGCCAUUGCCUUCUCCGGGAAAAGCUAUCUAGAGAAGUGCAAAAUUUUGUUAUAGUAAAAAGGAACAAAGAAGAACUAUUUGGUAGAUGAC
rnacentral:lncRNA from 1 species